rnacentral:rRNA from 1 species
GCGCUGAAGGUUGGUACUUGUACCGACUGGAUGAGCAGCGAACGGGUGAGUAACGCGUGGGGAAUCUGCCUUUGAGCGGGGGACAACAUUUGGAAACGAAUGCUAAUACCGCAUAAAAACUUUAAACACAAGUUUUAAGUUUGAAAGAUGCAAUUGCAUCACUCAAAGAUGAUCCCGCGUUGUAUUAGCUAGUUGGUGAGGUAAAGGCUCACCAAGGCGAUGAUACAUAGCCGACCUGAGAGGGUGAUCGGCCACAUUGGGACUGAGACACGGCCCAAACUCCUACGGGAGGCAGCAGUAGGGAAUCUUCGGCAAUGGACGAAAGUCUGACCGAGCAACGCCGCGUGAGUGAAGAAGGUUUUCGGAUCGUAAAACUCUGUUGGUAGAGAAGAACGUUGGUGAGAGUGGAAAGCUCAUCAAGUGACGGUAACUACCCAGAAAGGGACGGCUAACUACGUGCCAGCAGCCGCGGUAAUACGUAGGUCCCGAGCGUUGUCCGGAUUUAUUGGGCGUAAAGCGAGCGCAGGUGGUUUAUUAAGUCUGGUGUAAAAGGCAGUGGCUCAACCAUUGUAUGCAUUGGAAACUGGUAGACUUGAGUGCAGGAGAGGAGAGUGGAAUUCCAUGUGUAGCGGUGAAAUGCGUAGAUAUAUGGAGGAACACCGGUGGCGAAAGCGGCUCUCUGGCCUGUAACUGACACUGAGGCUCGAAAGCGUGGGGAGCAACAGGAU